CAGUCGCCACGGGAAUACGGAGGGAGCUAGCGUUGUUCGGAAUUACUGGGCGUAAAGCGCACGUAGGCGGCUUUGUAAGUUAGAGGUGAAAGCCUGGAGCUCAACUCCAGAAUUGCCUUUAAGACUGCAUCGCUUGAAUCCGAGAGAGGUGAGUGGAAUUCCGAGUGUAGAGGUGAAAUUCGUAGAUAUUCGGAAGAACACCAGUGGCGAAGGCGGCUCACUGGCUCGGUAUUGACGCUGAGGUGCGAAAGCGUGGGGAGCAAACAGGAUUAGAUACCCGUGUAGUCCCUGUCUCUUAUAC
rnacentral:rRNA from 1 species